rnacentral:ncRNA from 1 species
AAAAAUGUCUUCGAGCCGCUGUUCCUAAGGCUUGCGCUACGGAACCUUGUGCCGCGUCGGGCAACCGACCAAGGGUUGUAUUUGGAAACGAAGCAGCCUUCCGUGUUUGAAAAGGAGAC